AGCCCUGGGUGGGUGGAGCGGGGGAAGCGGAGUACGUUGGACCCGGCUCCGCCCUACCCCACGGGGCCGCCUGGAGAGGUGCUGGGAGCUGGGUGGAGCUUAGAGGAAUUAAACUUUGGCCCUGCGCCUCGUCCAGCCUAGGUUCCACCCUUUUCUGGGAACAUCUUCACUUCAGGUCAGCUCCAAGGAGGCUAUCCUUGCCCAUCUUCCUAAAAUAGAGCUCUCAAAACCUGGCUGUUUUCCUUCAGAGCACUGGCCUCCAAUUGCUCCGGUAGAUUGCAAAUGACCUGCUUUCUUUCUGUUCCCGGGCGUUUGGACCCCUGUCUUGGACCGCUGUCGGAUAGUAAAUCCCAAGUAAGGUACCUGCCGUCGGCAGAUUUGAGCUUUCUUCUUGGACACCUAAUACCCAGAGUCCUCCAGGCUCCGGUAGAUUGCAAAUGACCUGCUUUCUUUCUGUUCCCGGGCGGCAUCGGACCCGUCGGAGAGUAAAUCCCAAGUAAGGUACCUGCCGUUGGCAGAUUUGAGCUUUCUUCUUGGACACCUAAUACCCACAGUCCUCCAGGCUCCGGUAGAUUGCAAAUGACCUGCUUUCUUUCUGUUCCCGGGUGGCAUCGACCCGUCGGAGAGUAAAUCCCAAGUAAGGUACCUGCCGUUGGCAGAUUUGAGCUUUCUUCUUGGACACCUAAUACCCACAGUCCUCCAGUAAAUCCCAAGCAAGGUACCUGCCGUCAGCAGAUUUGAGCUUUCUUCUUGGACACCUAAUACCCACAGUCCUCCAGGCUCCGGUAGAUUGCAAAUGACCUGCUUUCUUUCUGUUCCCGGGCUGCGUUCGGACCCCUGUCGGAUAGUAACUCCCAAGUAAGGUACCUGCCGUCGGCAGAUUGGAGCUUUCUUCUUGGAGACCUAAUACCCACAGUCCUCCAGAAAAACAAACAAAGACAUGGAUUUACUGUGCAUAUUAGCAGAUCCAUACUGGAAAAUGCAUGGAGGUUUCAUAUACACCACUUACAGAUGCAGAAAGGCAGUGAACUCCUCCGGAGUAGCUGUCAGGUCACCAUUGAGGUCUGCAGCUUUGAAUCUUCUCUCAUCACGUGGCAGCAUCUUUUUAAAGGUGUGAUGAUCUGAAGAAUCAUGAAACUCUGCGGGGUUUCCUAGGUUUUCAGCUCCUCAGUAGUGACAAAGCCAUACCCAUCAUUGUCGAUUCGAUCAACAAUCUUCCCUAGCCUCUCCUUGCUCUCGUCCGGGGUGAGCUCGUCGAAGUUCUUGGAGUCCUCCUUGCCCAGGAAGGCCUCGUGGUCGUACUGGAAGCUCUGGUUGUCCUCAGGGGGCCGCUCGCCCAGCUCCGAGUCGGGCCGCACCACGCGCUCUUUGCGCACCGUGGGCUUGGCCCGCAGAACCCGCGGCGCCAGCACCAGCGCCAGCAGCAGCCCCAGGGCUAACCCCAGGCGGCCACCGCGCGCCAUCGUCCCGAGGAGAGGGCGGCCGGGAGGGAGACGCUGAGCGAGCGACAACAGCGGCAGCUCGGGAAUGGGGGCUCGGAGCGCGGCGGCCAAGUUUUAUGUUAUGUAUAUUUUACAAGUAAAAAAAUUUUUUCACCUCAGCCUGAACUGAACACUAGCUGACAGACGUUUUGAUUUCUUUGACCAUCACGGAAUCGUGGCCAAGCGCGGUGGCUCACAUCUGUAAUCCCAACACUUUGGGAGGUCAAGAUGGGCGGAUUGCUUGAAUCCAGGUGUUUGAGAU
ensembl:lncRNA TPT1-AS1 TPT1 antisense RNA 1